GAGAGAUAUACCCCUCUUACGGGGUUAUUUUGUAAUAUUGACUAAUAUACCACCAGGAGUGGAGCCUGCGGCUUAAUUUGUCUCAACACGGGAAAACUUUCUAGGUCCAGACGUAGUAAGGAUUGACAGAUUGAAAGCUCUUUCUUGAUUCUAUGGUUGGUGGUGCAUGGCCAUUCUUAGUUGGUGGAGCAAUUUGUCUAGUUAAUUCUGUUCAGGAACGAGAGCUCAACCUGCUAACUAGUUUUGCGAAGGUAUCCCUCCGCGGCCAGCUUCUUAGAGGGACUAUGGCCUUCUAGGCCAAGGAAGUUUGGGCCGCACGCGCGCUACACAGAUGUAUUCAACGAGUCUAUAGCCUUGGCCAACAGGCCCGGGUAAUCUUUGAAAUUUCAUCGUGAUGGGGAUAGAUCAUUGCAAUUGUUGGUCUUCAACGAGGAAUUCCUAGUAAGCGCGAGUCAUCAGCUCGCGUUGACUACGUCCCUGCCUUUUGUGCACACCGCCCGUCGCUCCUACCGAUUGAAUGGUCUAGUGAGGUGUUCGGAUCGCGGCGACGUGGGCGGUUCUCCGCCGGUGACGUCGUGAGAAGUCCACUGAACCUUAUCAUUUAGAGGAAGGAGAAAUCAUAACAAGGUUUAUGUAGGUGAACCUGCGGAAG
rnacentral:ncRNA from 1 species